GACGAACGCUGGCGGCGUGCUUAACACAUGCAAGUCGAACGGAAAGGCCCUGCUUGCAGGGUACUCGAGUGGCGAACGGGUGAGUAACACGUGGGUGAUCUGCCCUGCACUUCGGGAUAAGCCUGGGAAACUGGGUCUAAUACCGGAUAGGAGCCAUUUUUAGUGUGGUGGUUGGAAAGUUUUUUCGGUGUAGGAUGAGCUCGCGGCCUAUCAGCUUGUUGGUGGGGUAAUGGCCUACCAAGGCGGCGACGGGUAGCCGGCCUGAGAGGGUGGACGGCCAAAUUGGGACUGAGAUACGGCCCAGACUCCUACGGGGGGCAGCAGGGGGGAAUAUUGCACAAUGGGCGCAAGCCUGAUGCAGCGACGCCGCGUGGGGGAUGAAGGCCUUCGGGUUGUAAACUCCUUUCGCUAGGGACGAAGCUUUUUGUGACGGUACCUAGAAAAGAAGCACCGGCUAACUACGUG
rnacentral:rRNA from 1 species